GAUGAACGCUGGCGGCGUGCUUAACACAUGCAAGUCGAACGAGAAGUGAAGACGGAAACCUUCGGGCGGAAGGCUUUAUUUCGAGUGGCGGACGGGUGAGUAACGCGUGGGUAACCUGCCUCAUACAGGGGGAUAACAGUUGGAAACGACUGUUAAUACCGCAUAAGACCACAGCACCGCAUGGUGCGGGGGUAAAAACUCCGGUGGUAUGAGAUGGACCCGCGUUCGAUUAGCCAGUUGGCGGGGUAACGGCCCACCAAAGCGACGAUCGGUAGCCGAACUGGAAGGAUGACCGGCACAAUUGGGAUGGGGACCCGGCCCAAAUCCCUCGGGAAGGCAGAAUGGGGAAUAUUGCACAAUGGGGGAAACCCUGAUGCAGCGACGCCGCGUGAGUGAAGAAGUAUUUCGGUAUGUAAAGCUCUAUCAGCAGGGAAGAAAAUGACGGUACCUGAGGAAGAAGCCCCGGCUAACUACGUG
rnacentral:rRNA from 1 species